CAUACAAACAUGCUCUCUACAUUUCUACAUUUGGGUUAAUGCAUUCAUUAAUGCAUCUAUUUUUUAAAAAGAAAAUACAAAAAAAUGCAGCUUUAAAAAAACCCAUAAAUGCCUGGCACAGAGGGGACUUGUGGGUGGAAAGUGCAGGAUGUUCGCAGAGACUGACUUGGCAGAUCUAUGUAUCCUUACCACAUUCUGCUUUCAUGAAAGCAAGAGGAAAAUGCUAUUAACAAUGAUGAAGAAUAUGUUGAUAUUUCUCCGAGUCAGCAAGACCCGAUGAAUUUGCAGCUGCCAUUUGUUGACGAAACACAGCCAGCUCUAAUUGAAAGGGAGAGUGUUGCAGAUAACUCUACUCCCUUGCCAGAUGUCUUUAGCUCACCGGAGUCUGUGUCCUUCAACCGAAGAGAGUAUGUAAACAAACAGAGAUCUGAGAAAUAGGUGCGGAGAAAAAGUGCCCGCUUGGCUGAGCGUGGAGACUCUCUCUAGAAGCCUUUCCCUUGGGAACUUUGGGGAGGAAGCCCCCCCCUUUGGGGGGGAGACUGCACUUCAAUAAAAGUUUCGCUCCCAGUAGUCCCCUUGCGGUGUCAACAUUGCUCAACUCUAAGAAGGUAUAUUCGCCUCCAGUUUCCAGCCCCUUUGACUCAAGCGGCUAGCAGCUGCCUUGACUUACGAGUAGACCCGGAUUUAAGUCUGCUUUCUUGUCAUUUCGUGAACCAAGAUUUAUUUCCAUGAUCUCAAGUUCCUGCCUUACUUCUAACAACUAUUCUUGAACAUUUGGACCCCGUUCAUGUGCCUAGCUUGUUGGUUUGAUUCCCCGCUCAAAGGCUAUCAUUAGUUUUGAGUGUGUUUCGGUUUCUGGACUUUGGACUCUAAUAUUGGAAAUAUUCCUUGACAUUUCUGGACUAUCUUAUACCUUUUCUUAAAGGGCUAUUGCUUGCGCAACUUUUCCACCAUUUCAUUUUUGGAUUACUAUUUGCUUUAAUAAAGAUAUUAAAAGAU